rnacentral:rRNA from 1 species
GAUCAUGGCUCAGGAUGAACGCUAGCGGCAGGCUUAACACAUGCAAGUCGAGGGGCAGCGUGAGGGUUAGCAAUACCCUGACGGCGACCGGCGCAAGGGUGCGUAACGCGUGAGCAACUUGCCCUUAUCGAGGGGGGUAACCGGUGGAAACGCCGACUAAUACCCCAUGGCAUUGAGUUGAGGCAUCUCUACUCAAUUAAAGAAUUUCGGAUAAGGAUAGGCUCGCGUGACAUUAGCUAGAUGGCGGGGUAACGGCCCACCAUGGCAACGAUGUCUAGGGGUUCUGAGAGGAAGGUCCCCCACACUGGAACUGAGACACGGUCCAGACUCCUACGGGAGGCAGCAGUGAGGAAUAUUGGUCAAUGGGCGAGAGCCUGAACCAGCCAAGUCGCGUGAGGGAAGACGGUACUAAGUAUUGUAAACCUCUUUUGUCAGGGAGCACUAAGCCACGAGUGGUGUAAAGAGAGUACCUGAAGAAAAAGCAUCGGCUAACUCCGUG